rnacentral:rRNA from 1 species
AUGAACGCUGGCGGCGUGCCUAAUACAUGCAAGUCGAGCGAACGGACGAGAAGCUUGCUUCUCUGAUGUUAGCGGCGGACGGGUGAGUAACACGUGGAUAACCUACCUAUAAGACUGGGAUAACUUCGGGAAACCGGAGCUAAUACCGGAUGAUAUUUUGAACCGCAUGGUUCAAAAGUGAAAGACGGUCUUGCUAUCACUUAUAGAUGGAUCCGCGCUGCAUUAGCUAGUUGGUAAGGUAACGGCUUACCAAGGCAACGAUGCAUAGCCGACCUGAGAGGGUGAUCGGCCACACGGGAACUGAGACACGGUCCAGACUCCUACGGGAGGCAGCAGUAGGGAAUCUUCCGCAAUGGGCGAAAGCCUGACGGAGCAACGCCGCGUGAGUGAUGAAGGUCUUCGGAUCGUAAAACUCUGUUAUUAGGGAAGAACAUAUGUGUAAGUAACUGUGCACAUCUUGACGGUACCUAAUCAGAAAGCCACGGCUAACUACGUG